CCUACGGGUGGCAGCAGUGGGGAAUAUUGGGCAAUGGGCGCAAGCCUGACCCAGCAACGCCGCGUGAAGGAAGAAGGCUUUCGGGUUGUAAACUUCUUUUGUCAGGGACGAAGCAAGUGACGGUACCUGACGAAUAAGCCACGGCUAACUACGUGCCAGCAGCCGCGGUAAUACGUAGGUGGCAAACGUUAUCCGGAUUUAUUGGGUGUAAAGGGCGUGUAGGCGGGAAUGAAAGUCAGAUGUGAAAACUAUGGGCCCAACCCAUAGCGUGCAUUUGAAACUGUAUUUCUUGAGUGCUGUGGAGGCAAACGGAAUUCGGGGUGUAGCGGUGAAAUGCGUAGAUAUACGGAGGAACACCAGUGGCGAAGGCGGAGUGCUGGACAGAAACUGACGCUGAGGCGCGAAAGCGUGGGGAUCAAACAGGAUUAGAUACCCUAGUAGUC
rnacentral:rRNA from 1 species